rnacentral:rRNA from 1 species
GCAGUCGCCGCGGUAACACGUAGGUGGCAAGCGUUGUCCGGAAUUAUUGGGCGUAAAGGGCUCGCAGGCGGUUUCUUAAGUCUGAUGUGAAAGCCCCCGGCUCAACCGGGGAGGGUCAUUGGAAACUGGGAAACUUGAGUGCAGAAGAGGAGAGUGGAAUUCCACGUGUAGCGGUGAAAUGCGUAGAGAUGUGGAGGAACACCAGUGGCGAAGGCGACUCUCUGGUCUGUAACUGACGCUGAGGAGCGAAAGCGUGGGGAGCGAACAGGAUUAGAUACCCGAGUAGUCCCUGUCUCUUAUAC